UGAGGAAUAUUGGGCAAUGCCCGCAAGGGUGACCCAGCAACGCCGCGUGGAGGAUGAAUGUCGUAAGAUUGUAAACUCCUGUUAGAGGGGAAGAAUAGUACCGGUUGGACCGGUAUAUGACUGUACCCUCAGAGAAAGCCCCGGCUAACUACGUGCCAGCAGCCGCGGUAAUACGUAGGGGGCAAGCGUUGUCCGGAUUUACUGGGUGUAAAGGGCGCGCAGGCGGGAUAAAAAGUCAGUGGUGGAAUCCUACAGCUUAACUGUAGAACUGCCUUUGAUACUUUUAUUCUUGAGUUCGGGAGAGAGAGACGGAAUUCCAGGUGUAGUGGUGAAAUACGUAGAUAUCUGGAAGAACACCAGUUGCGAAGGCGGUCUCUUGGUCCGACACUGACGCUGAGGCGCGAAAGCGUGGGGAGCAAACA
rnacentral:rRNA from 1 species